rnacentral:rRNA from 1 species
GACGAACGCUGGCGGCGUGCCUAAUACAUGCAAGUCGAACGCAGUGGGGACGGGUGAGUAACACGUGGGUAACCUCCCAUCAGAGGGGAUAACACUUGGAAACAGGUGCUAAACCGAUACUGAUGGAUGGACCCGCGGUGCAUUAGCUAGUUGGUGAGGUAACGGCUCACCUAGGCCACGAUGCAUAGCCGGCCUGAGAGGGUGAUCGGCCACACUGGGACUGAGACACGGCCCAGACUCCUACGGGAGGCAGCAGUGGGGAAUAUUUGACAAUGGACGAAAGUCUGAUCGAGCAAUGCCGCGUGAAUGAAGAAGGCUUUCGGGUCGUAAAGCACUUUUGGUAGGGAGGCGGUAUCGACAGAAGAAGCCCCGGCUAACUACGUGCCAGCAGCCGCGGUAAUAC